AAUUUUCUCUCGCAUUUCAUGUUGAGAACAUCUGAUUUUCCAACCUUCAGCGACGACAACUUUCCUACAGAUUCAGCAGAAUAAUAGCAGCCUGUCUGGUUUAAUUCGUUUUCGAAUGUCGACAUAUUCACAUUGCAUAUUAAAGAGAAGAUGAAGCAUUGGAUUUUCAUGUGAUCAAACAAACCUGUUUGUGAACAAUCUCACAACACGGAAGCCAUCCAGUCUCAGUCAAAGUGCAAACUGAGAUGCCUUGCCCUUGCAACUUGCUGCCAUCACCUCUGCCAAUUGAAGUCUUACAUCAUUAAGAAGACUUCCACUCCAUUCGAGGUAGACGACAAUGUAGGGAGCCUAAUUGCCCAAUGUUAGCUUCAUAAGCCUUCAAGGAAGACUUUGAGAAUUUUUGGUUCGCAUGCCCUUCAGACAAGGUUUGAAGUAUGCAGAAGCAGUGUGCAAGCAGGUCUUUCUUUAUCUUUUCUACUGGAAAUUCUUUUUCGCUUUGGCAUUUUUCAGUAAAAAUUUGUUUGGUGUAGGAUGAAAUUGAUCAGAAAUGAUACAAUCCCUCAGGUUAUAUGGAACAUAGACACUUAAAGUUAGUAUAUCGACAUCCAGCAAAGUAUAGUUUGGGUUUCGAGAGUAGAGGAAGGACAAAAACGUGUCUUUUACCAUUUAACUUUAUGAUGAAAAUGUUGGCUAAUCUG